UCUCCGUAGGUGAACCUGCGGAGGGAUCAUUACUGAGUGAGGGUUUAACCGCCCGACCUCCAACCCUUUGUGAACCAAACUUGUUGCUUCGGGGGCGACCCUGCCGACGACCUCGUCGCCGGGCGCCCCCGGAGGUCUUCUAAACACUGCAUCUUUGCGUCGGAGUUUAAACAAAUUAAACAAAACUUUCAACAACGGAUCUCUUGGUUCCAGCAUCGAUGAAGAACGCAGC
rnacentral:misc_RNA from 1 species